rfam:Lobosporangium transversale strain NRRL 3116 BCR41scaffold_31, whole genome shotgun sequence.
UCCGAUUCCUAAGCAUAUUAAUAAGCGGGAGAAAAGAAAACUAGUCUAACAAGGAUCCCCUCAGUAACAGCGAGCGAAGCAGAUGUGAGCUCAAAUUUAAAAUGUAACCGGUUUACUGGCUCGAGUCGUAGUUUAAAGAGACGUUUUUGGUGGCAACCUGGAUAUAGAUCCUUUGGAAUAGGGUGUCAUAGAGGGUGAGAAUCACGUCGUUGACUCAGUGGAUGCUACAUACGUUUUCAAAGAGUCGGGUUGUUUGGGAAUGUGGCUCAAAAUGGGUGGUAAACUUCAUCUAAAACUAAAUAUCGGCGAGAGACCGAUACCGAACAGCCAUUGCUCAC